UUCUCUGAAACCCAACCCCUUCCCCGUCUUCAGUAAACCUUAGAUGUUAAAAUCCCUCAACUCAUUGGUCAAGUUAUAAAUCUCAAAUCUGCUGGGAACAGAUUCAAUCGAAGUUUUUUUGUUUUCAUUCUAGGGUUUCUCUAACUAUAUCUAAAUAAAAUCUUAUGAAUGAUUACUGCUACAACUUUUGCUUUUCUAGGGUUUGAGAAUAUGGAGACCUUCUUUGGAGAUUUAGAUUGAUUGGAGUCUAGUCUUCAAUUCAACUGAAGAUGAAUAUUUUGAUUUAAAUUAAUUGAAAAUCCUCAGAGGGAUUAUAUUGACUUCUACCAGUGGAUAUCAAUUUAUGUGUAGAGCUUUUGGUGGUUUUAUCUUAGCUACAGAGGCUGUAAGGUAAUUGAAAGAAAAUCUGAGUUGGUUAGGAUAGGAGAUCAUGUUUGAACUAUUGGAUGAAGAAGCAUAGGACAUGGAUGAUGUUGUUGGAUGUUUUGAAUAAUAUGCAGAACUUGUUGGAGGACUAGAUGCAAAACACAAGGUUCUUGUCAACAUUCCAAUGGAGAAAUUUAAGAACCAUGUUCGUUGGGAACCCAUUGGAAUCGAUAAGAAGCUGGUCAUGAAGGAAAGGUUAUAACUGUUGAAUUCAUCCCUGAUGGCAGACAACUUGCUAGUGGUUCUGGUGAUAUGAUGGUGUGUUUAUGGAUAUUACUAUUCAAACCCCCAAAAUGCACUUGUAGAUCCUGACUCGGUGUCUCUGAAAUCCGAAGAAAAGGUACGGUGGGGGCAUGAGUACAGCUAAAGACGCUCUAGAGAGUGACACUGUAGUGUGUAGCUUUCUAGGUAUGUAUACUUUACUUCUUUCAUAGAGAUGAACUCAGCAACUUUCAGUGGUAUUCUGAUCAUUGGGUCCGGUUACAAGUGUUUGUAGUUACACCUACUGCAUACAUUACUGUUAUCCGUAUAUUACCUUGAGUUGAUGUAGUCUCCUUGGACAAGUUCCGCGACAAUGUCUUAUGAGAUAUGCUCAUAUUGUUGCUUUGAGUUCCCUUUGUAUGGAUAGGAUAUUUAUGAAAUUACAGGACUGUAUAUUUGGAUUCCCUGAGUUUUACAUAAAUCUAUGUGUACUAAUUUUAGUGUGGUAACAUGCAAGAGGAUUAAAGAAUCAUUUGAAGAGGCUCAAUGCGCUUGAGCAUUGGAUGCUUGUCAAGCUUGGUGGUUGUAAGAAUCAAUAGUCCCUUUCUUGUGUAUUGAUAUAUUCAAUUUUGGAUUUUGGUUUUAAUGGAAGAUUUUUAUCUUCGUAGGCUCCAUUCAGUGUGUCAAGAUACGAGUGAUACAAACACCACUAUUUGUAUCUGGCAUAAACAUAUUUCUGCAAGUUUUGUUUGGAACCAGGUUACCGGCAGCCAUUGGUGGUUCUUCUGCUGAUAUUGUACCUAUCCUUUGCAUUAUCAGAGACUCAUCUCUACAACGAAUCACUGAACCUCAUGAAGAAAGUUCUGCAGACAAACUUUGAUUAUCUCUCCACCUCUUUCCAUUUAUGUUUUUUAACUUUGACGAUUCAGCUAGUUUUAUGCACAUGUAUUCUCUACUUGCAGAGAUUUGUACACAGUAUGAUGGAAACUCAAGGAGUCCUGAUUGUAGCUGCAAGCUUGCAGAUCAUACUGGGAUUUAGUCUCGUUGUACACAUUUAAUUCGUAUCUAAAGAUUGUGUUGGCAUAUAAUAUAAUUGUAUCUUACUUAGUUCUUUGUGAUUAAAUCACAGGUUUUUGUUAGAAUUUACUAGCUAUUUUGGACAUGUAUUCUGUGAACUCAGUAUUUCAUCCUUUUUUUGUGUAA